AUUAGUCACGGUGCUCCGAUGAGGACAAACUGAGUAAUGUGAAUGAUUACAUCAUUGUACGUUAUAUGUAACAAGUCAUCUGCUCCAUCUGCUGAGGGACGGGAACAAAGGGGAACAUAAACUGCAGCCACACCGAGACUCAAGUGUAAACUGUAAGACUUCAGAAAAGAAGGAGCGUCUUUGAUGACCUUUGACCCCUGACCUCCCAGUGGUGGAACAACCCUUGAACUCUGCAAGAAGGAAACUGCAGAGCUGCAGAUGUGACAACAGAGCCCCAUUCUGCUGUCCAGCAACCUAACGCUGCACGGCGUGUUCGUGUGUGUGUUAGUCUCCUCAUCAUUAAUAGAGUUUGCUUUGUCACAUCUGGGACAAAACAGAACAAUAGAGCUGAAACACCAACAACACACACAGACAUUUCUGUAUAUUUUACUGUUUCUGUUGCAGGAAAAAGAAAAGUUCCUGUUUCCUGCUUCUCUCAGAUGGAACCAGAUUAUGAGUUUCUGCUCCUGGGAAGAUUAUUAAUGACAAAAGAAGGACAAAUAAUGAGCCGUUGUACCUGCAUAGGUAAGGACACGUUGUGUUCCCACGUUACCUCACAGCCACCGUAGUUUACCGACGUGUUCGGAAAGGAGGAGUGAAUGGAAGGGUCUCCCACCGCCUGCAAUCUACAACCUUACCGCAAGAUGCCCCCAAACCCUCCAACACCAAC
ensembl:lncRNA